GGGAUGAAAGCUGGGGGAGCGAACCGGAUUAGAUACCCGGGUAGUCCCAGCUGUAAACGAUGCAGGCUAGGUGUUAGGGCGGCUACGUGCCGCUCUGGUGCCGCAGGGAAGCUGUUAAGCCUGCCGCCUGGGGAGUACGGUCGCAAGGCUGAAACUUAAAGGAAUUGGCGGGGGAGCACCACAAGGGGUGAAGCUUGCGGUUUAAUUGGAGUCAACGCCGGAAAUCUCACCGGGGGCGACAGCAGGAUGAAAGCCAGAUUAAAGGUCUUGCCAGACGAGCUGAGAGGAGGUGCAUGGCCGUCGCCAGUUCGUGCCGUGAGGUGUCCUGUUAAGUCAGGCAACGAUCGAGACCCGUAUCCCCCGUUGCUACCAGCCUUGAGCUGGGCACACUGGGGAGACCGCCGUCGAUAAGACGGAGGAAGGAGCGGGCCACGGCAGGUCAGUAUGCCCCGAAUCUCCCGGGCCACACGCGAGCUGCAAUGGCAGGUACAAUGGGUUCCGACCUCGAAAGGGGAAGGCAAUCUCGAAAGCCUGCCGUAGUUGGGAUCGAGGGUUGAAACCCACCCUCGUGAACAUGGAAUCCCUAGUAAUCGCGCGUCACUAUCGCGCGGUGAAUACGUCCCUGCUCCUUGCACACACCGCCCGUCGUUCCAUCCGAGCGACUUCUGGGUGAGGCGUGGUCUUUGUUGGCUGCGUCGAAUCCAGGUUUUGUAAGGAGGGAAAAGUCGUAACAAGGUGGCCGUAGGGGAACCUGCGGCCG
rnacentral:rRNA from 1 species